rnacentral:tRNA from 1 species
GCGCCUAUAGCUCAGUCGGAUAGAGCGCGGGACUUCUAAGCCCGGCGUCGCAGGUUCGAUUCCUGCUAGGCGCG